GUCUUUUUGAUUAUAAUUUAAAGUCUAACCUGCCCAAUGAAUAUUUUAAUGGCCGCGGUAUUUUGACCGUGCAAAGGUAGCAUAAUCAUUAGUUUUUUGAUUGAAAGCUGGUAUGAAUGGUUGGACGAGAAAAUUACUGUCUCAGUUUAAUUUAAUUAGAAUUUUAUUUUUAAGUUAAAAAGCUUAAAUUUAUUUAAAAGACGAGAAGACCCUAUAGAGUUUUAUAUUAUAAUUAAUUUUAUUUUUAUAAUUUUAUAUAUUUAUUUAUAAUAUUUUAUUGGGGUGAUAAAUAAAUUUAAUAAACUUUGUUUUUUUAUUGACAUAAAUUUAUGAUUUAUUGAUCCAUUAUUAAUGAUUAUAAGAUUAAAUUACCUUAGGGAUAACAGCGUUAUCUUUUUAGAGAGUUCAAAUCGAAAAAAAGGAUUGCGACCUCGAUGUUGGAUUAAAAUUAAUUUUUGGUGUAGAAGCUAAAAAUAUUAAGUCUGUUCGACUUUUAAAUUUUUACAUGAUCUGAGUUUAAACCGGCGUGAGCCAGGUUGGUUUCUAUCUUUAAAAAAUUUUUAAUAUUUUAGUACGAAAGGACCAAAUAUUUAUAAAAAUUAUUAUUAUUUGAAUUU
rnacentral:rRNA from 1 species